AUUGAACGCUGGCGGCAGGCCUAACACAUGCAAGUCGAACGAGUGGCGGACGUGAGAGUAAUGCCUGGGAAUCUAGCUGAUGGAGGGGGAUAACUACGGGAAACUGUAGCUAAUACCGCGUACCAUAGGAUGAGCCGAAAUGGGUUGAGGUAGUUGGUGGGGUAAAGGCUCACCAAGCCGACGAUCUCUAGCUGGUCUGUGAGGAUGACCAGCCACACGGGGACUGAGACACGGCCCAGACUCCUACGGGAGGCAGCAGUGGGGAAUAUUGCACAAUGGGGGCAACCCUGACGCAGCCAUGCCGCGUGUAUGAUGAAGGCCUUCGGGUUGUAAAGUACUUUCGGUAGGGAGGCGUUAACUACAGAAGAAGCACCGGCUAACUCCGUGCCAGCCGCCGCGGUAAUUC
rnacentral:rRNA from 1 species